AAGGCGUUGCGAGCGCAGCUGCGCCGCGGCGGGCGCCAGCAGGAGCAUGGACCCCCGCGGCGGCGGCGGCUGGAUCUGCCUGGUGGUGCUGUGCUCCGGGGCCGCUCUCGUGCUGGUAGGAGAGGACCAGGGCGGCCGAAGCCUCGAGCAGCCCGACCGCGGCGCGGCGCCGGAGGGGGCCCCCAACUCCACCGCCGGGGAAGGGGGCGAGCCGGCGGCGUGGACGUCGGUCCCCGCGUGGGACGGUGCCACCAGCCCCUCCGCCCUGCCGCCGCGGGCCGCGGGGAACAGGAGCCAAAGCGCCUCGGCCGUUCCCGUGCGGUACUGGUCCCCCGUCAUCUUUGUGGCCGUUGCUCUGCUCGUGCUGUUCCUGACCUACAAGAGGACCAAGGGGGAAGAAAGCGGCAACCAAGUGGCCUCGGCCAGUGACUCCUCAGAUUUGGAAGAAGCAGCCGACGUCCCCGUCCACGACACGGCCCCAAUCGUCCCUCCUGCCGCGGUGAGUCCGGCCGACGGGGGGGCCGCAGCCGAAAUCCUGCCGCCUCCUCUGCCCCUGUGCGGUGGGGACGCGCGUCGGGGCUGYGCCGCGUCUCCUAAACUGCUGCCGUCCGCUGCAGGAGGAGCRGAAGGGGCCGGAGAAACCCCCACCCCGGGAUCCGACCGAAACCGUCUUCUGCGAGCCGGACGCCCCCCCGCUGCAGCCGUCCCAGGUAUUUCGACCCUCCUCGGCCGCGUCAGCCCCACGGCGUGGUUUUGGGCAAAAYGCGGGACCAAAGGGCUGUGCCGGGGGUGUCUGCACGCAGCGGUGCCCUGCGGCAUCCCGCUCCCCGUCGCGGGGCAGGGCUGACCUUGCUCCCCUCGCACCCGAGCAGCCCGUUGCCCCCGCGGCCACCAGCAGCCCCCAGCCCUGACCGAMGGCUCCCAGCACGGCCGAAGCCCCCGGAGAAAGCGGCAGCUCUGAAACGCCCCGCGGGGCGACGGGCUGCGUGACGAGGAUGCUCCCGGCCCCGCAGCCUCCUCGGCCCUUUGCAACCCCUGGCAGGAUACGACCCAGCGCGUGACACGGCCCUGCACGACGUGACCGCACGUGGCACGGCCGUGCGCGUGCAUUUACUACCGUGCACGCAAGGACGGGGGCCUGGGGCGCGCGUGACGUGCGCCGUCAAGCCAAUAAAGCAGCGUUUCACCCCA
rnacentral:lncRNA from 1 species